CCUCUCUGAGGUUCAUCGACGACGAUGACCCACCCAACAAUACUGGAACCGGAUGCCCCGAGAAUAUAUGCCGAAGCUUUUAAGAGAGUUUCGACCUCUAGUUCUGUUUCACCGUCAACUGUCACAAGUACUCCUACCUUGUCAUCGACCUGAUGGUUUACUCCUUCGCGUCGAUUAUUUUCGACUGUCUCUGUUUCGGUUGCUGAUGUCUCAGCACCGGAAGGAUAUCGUACGGAUGUUCCUGCGAAGUGGAGAUGAAUAGAGGUAUUUGAGAGGGACUGAUGCAUGACUAGAUUUUAGAAGAAGAACUAAAAGAGAUUAAGGUUGUUCUGAUGUCUCGAUACAAUCAGUUUAAGCAGAAAAUUGCUCGCACACGAACUCGAUGUCCACUCCACCUCCGACGAUCAUGUUGGUAAUAAUCAAAUCAAAGUCGUUUAAUUCUAAUUUCUUAAAUUUAAAGUUGUUGUUUUUUAAAAUCAAAUCGCAGUUUAUUUAAUUUUGAUAAAUAAAGAGUAUAAAUUGCAG
rnacentral:lncRNA from 1 species